rnacentral:rRNA from 1 species
ACAUGCAAGUCGAACGCACUUUCGUUGAAUGAAUAGAGGUGCUUGCACCGAAGAUGAUUUUAGCUAUAAAGUGAGUGGCGAACGGGUGAGUAACACGUGGGUAACCUGCCCAGAAGUGGGGGAUAACACCUGGAAACAGAUGCUAAUACCGCAUAACAAAGUAAACCGCAUGGUUUACUUUUAAAAGAUGGCUUCGGCUAUCACUUCUGGAUGGACCCGCGGCGUAUUAGCUAGUUGGUGAGAUAAAGGCUCACCAAGGCAGUGAUACGUAGCCGACCUGAGAGGGUAAUCGGCCACAUUGGGACUGAGACACGGCCCAGACUCCUACGGGAGGCAGCAGUAGGGAAUCUUCCACAAUGGACGAAAGUCUGAUGGAGCAACGCCGCGUGAGUGAUGAAGGCUUUAGGGUCGUAAAACUCUGUUGUUGGAGAAGAACGUGUGUGAGAGUAACUGCUCAUGCAGUGACGGUAUCCAACCAGAAAGCCACGGCUAACUACGUGCCAGCAGCCGCGGUAAUACGUAGGUGGCAAGCGUUAUCCGGAUUUAUUGGGCGUAAAGCGAGCGCAGGCGGUCUUUUAAGUCUAAUGUGAAAGCCUUCGGCUUAACCGAAGAAGUGCAUUGGAAACUGGAAGACUUGAGUGCAGAAGAGGACAGUGGAACUCCAUGUGUAGCGGUGAAAUGCGUAGAUAUAUGGAAGAACACCAGUGGCGAAGGCGGCUGUCUGGUCUGUAACUGACGCUGAGGCUCGAAAGCAUGGGUAGCGAACAGGAUUAGAUACCCUGGUAGUCCAUGCCGUAAACGAUGAAUGCUAAGUGUUGGAGGGUUUCCGCCCUUCAGUGCUGCAGCUAACGCA